UUAGGAGGGGUGAUGUUUGCUAUCAGUUCUACAAGGCUGUCCGAUGAAGACAAAUGCACUGUCUCAGCUCCCAUCUAUAACCAGGUAACAGACAGCAACUGUAUAUUUCACAUUUAGUAUGCCAAGUUCCAAGAAAUGCAAGUUGUCACAACAACCCACUCUCCUACAGGCUCCAGAACUAGUUGAAAGGGUGCAUGGAAAUAAAUGGUGGCCAUUGCACAAAGGUAUGUGGCUUGCAAAGCUGUGAGCCCUGCCCCUUCCUUAAACUCUACUGGAGUUUCCAUGGAGAAGCAGCUGCCAGUUUUACCUGUAUGAGGCCUCAACCCUGUUUGCUGAGCCUUCCUAAUUGUUCCAGAGCUACAGCUGCUGGAUGAAGGCCCAGUCCAUAUAGAGGAAUACUCCCUGAGCCAAGACACACGGGGGUGGGCCUAGGCCCUACCCCAAAGGAAACGAAAGACUCUGAUGACACCCUAUGGAAGGCCUCACCAUCCAGGGGGAGCAGAAAAGAUAUG
rnacentral:lncRNA from 1 species